GGAGGGAGCGAGCGUUGUUCGGAAUCACUGGGCGUAAAGGGCGCGUAGGCGGCCGAGUAAGUCGUGUGUGAAAGACCGGGGCUCAACUCCGUGUACUGCAUGCGAUACUGCUCGGCUAGAGAAAGGUAGAGGCGAGCGGAAUUCCCGGUGUAGCGGUGGAAUGCGUAGAUAUCGGGAAGAACACCUGUGGCGAAGGCGGCUCGCUGGGCCUUUUCUGACGCUGAAGUGCGAAAGCGUGGGGAGCAAACAGGAUUAGAUACCCUGGUAGUCCACGCCGUAAACGAUGGGCACUAGGCGUUGGGAGGAUUGACCCUCUCAGUGCCGUAGCUAACGCGUUAAGUGCCCCCCGCCUGGGGAGUACGGCCGCAAGGCUG
rnacentral:rRNA from 1 species